rnacentral:rRNA from 1 species
AUUGAACGCUGGCGGCAUGCUUUACACAUGCAAGUCGAACGGCAGCACGGGGGCAACCCUGGUGGCGAGUGGCGAACGGGUGAGUAAUGCAUCGGAACAUGCCCAGUCGUGGGGGAUAACGUAGCGAAAGUUACGCUAAUACCGCAUACGUCCUGAGGGAGAAAGCGGGGGAUCGCAAGACCUCGCGCGAUUGGAGUGGCCGAUGUCAGAUUAGCUAGUUGGUGGGGUAAAGGCCUACCAAGGCGACGAUUUGUAGCGGGUCUGAGAGGAUGAUCCGCCACACUGGGACUGAGACACGGCCCAGACUCCUACGGGAGGCAGCAGUGGGGAAUUUUGGACAAUGGGGGCAACCCUGAUCCAGCCAUGCCGCGUGCGGGAAGAAGGCCUUCGGGUUGUAAACCGCUUUCGGACGGAAAGAAAUCGCUUGGGUUAAUACCCUGAGUGGAUGACGGUACCGUAAGAAGAAGCACCGGCUAACUACGUGCCAGCCGCCGCCGUAACAC